rnacentral:rRNA from 1 species
AGAUACCCUGUUACUUAUAGUUAAAAUUUUUUGGAAUAGUAAUAAUAAUGAAAUUUAACGGAUUUGGCGGCAAGAUAGCUAUUUAGAGGAACCUGCCCUGUAAACGAUAAGCCACGAGAUACUCUACUUUUGUUUGUAAUCAGUUUGUAUACCGCUGUUGUCAGUCAGUUUUUUUAGAAAACUUUCUAUUAUGAUAAAAUCAACUACUUCAAGUAAAGGUGCAGCUUAUAUAGAAGAUAGAGGUGGGUUACAUUUAAAAUGAUUAAAACAGAUAAAGAUACUGAAAAUUCUUUUGAAGGCGGAUUUAAAUGUAAAGUUUAUGUAAACU